AAACCUUUACAUUAAAAGGUAACACAUGGAGUAAUAAUUUGUGUCAAGAAGAUGGUUGAUGUUAAUAAAGAAGGGGGAAAUGUGGGAGUGUGGCCAUGGUUGGUGAU